UACGUAGGGGGCAAGCGUUGUCCGGAUUUACUGGGCGUAAAGAGCGUGUAGGCGGCCAAGCAGGUCCGUUGUGAAAACUCGAGGCUCAACCUCGAGACGCCGAUGGAAACCAUCUGACUAGAGUCCGGAAGAGGAGAGUGGAAUUCCUGGUGUAGCGGUGAAAUGCGCAGAUAAUCAGGAAGAACACCCGUGGCUAAGGCGGCGUCUGGACUGUCUCUG
rnacentral:rRNA from 1 species